rnacentral:lncRNA from 10 species
GCGGGGGUGGGGUCUUGGAGGGUCGCAGGUCGCGGCGCUGGGGAUGGUGGGAGCCUGCGCAGCUGGCUGGGCGGUCUCUUUCUCUCUCUCCUUUUUUUUUUUUUUUUUUUUUUUUUUUUGUCAGCCGGGUUCAAUGCGCCAUAUUGAAGAGGACGGGUCUAAUAGAUCGCUGGAGACACAAUUUAACUGAACCCCGCCCGUUGUGGACUGACUUUGAUGCUCUGAGUCCCUCCCUCCUUCACGCCGCUAGCAGGCCCUGAUGUAGAUUGCCUUUGUCUUACUUGGGACGUUUACCUGAGCGCUUGGUGCUGGUGUCGGGACCGGGAGAUAGGAGUGUCUCAGGAGAGACCUGGCCGAAAACCGCGAGAAAGAAAAGUGAAGCCUAGUGAAACUGCCUUUGCAGUGACUCAAGAAAAACUCAUCACCUGGAGUCCGUGUAAGCUCGGCGACAGCCCUAGCAGCGAGGCCAAAACAGUUUGGGAAGAAAGAAAACCUAAAGUAUUUGCCGUUGGUGAUUCAAGGGAAUCAAACUUGACGUAUGGAGCCAAGAAAGCCCUUGGAAAAACUGGCCUCAUAUUUUGUGUACACAGUCCCUGUACAGGGUUUCUGACCUGUGUUCAGUCUUUACAGAAGCUGACGAGAGAUUUCCUUGUAUUUUAUGGUGGUAUGAUUGGCCUUAGAGCACUUCAGUUUUGAGAUCUCUGCUGUAUUUGUAUACAAGUAUUUUGGAAGGUCAGUUGAUAGGAUGAAUGAAAAACAAAAAUUGGAAGUAAUGGUACUAGUAAUAAGUGGGGAUUUUCAUGUAGGUAAAGGAACUGAUAAGUCAUAGGGAAUCCGUGAGUUCUUAAUCUUACUGAGUUUAGUUGUGUUCUUUGAUUAUUUUGGAUAGCUUUGUUUAACGGUGAAUGAAAUGAUUAAAAUGGAAAAAUUAAGUGCAGAAAAUAUGUUUAACAUUAUAUAGGAUGUCUUGUUUUAGGCAUUUAUUGCUAGAUAACAUAUGUCCAUUCUUGUAUUGCUAUAAAGAAAUAUUGGAUACUGGCUAAUUUAUAAAUAAAAGAGAUUUAUUGGCUCAUGAUUCUGCAGGCUGUACAGGAAAUAUGAUUCUGGAAUCCGCUUGGCUUCUGGAAAGGCCUCAGGAAACUUAGAAUGAUGACACAAGGCAGAGGGGAAGCAGGCACAUCUUACAUGGCAGGAGCAGGGAGCAAGAAAGAGUGAAGCGGGAGGUGCUACACACUUUUAAUAAUCCAGAUCUGAGUCAGGCAUAGCAGCUUAUGCCUAUAAUCCCAGCACUUUUGGGAGGCCAAGGCAGGCAGAUCACCUGAGGGUCAGGAGUUCAAGGCCAGCCUGGCCAACAUGGUGAAACCUCAUGUCUACUAAAAGUACAAAAAUUAGCUGGGUGUGGUUGCACCUGCUUAUAAUCCCAGCUGCUCAGGAGGCUGAGGCAGGAGAAUUGCUUGAACCCGGGAGGCAGAUGUUUCAGUGAACCAAGAUUGCACCACUGCACUCCAGCCUGGGUGAACAGAGUAAGACUCUGCCUUAAAAGUAAAAUAAAAUUAAAUUAAAAUUAAAAACCAGAUCUUGCAAGAACUCACUGUCAGAAGAACAGCACCAAGGGUAUGGUGCUGAACCAUUCAUGAAGGAGCCAUCCUCAAGAUCCAGUCAUCUCAUACCAGGUCCACCUCCAUCUAAUAUUGGGAAUUACAAUUCAUCAUGAGGGUUGGUGGAGACAUGGAUCCAAGCCAUGUCACAUAUUAUCCUGACUGUAGUGGUUUAAGAUAACAAUUUUUAUCUCACAAUUUAUUUUGAAUACAGGCAUGAUUUAGCUGUGUCCUUUGGUUCAGUAUCUCUUCAAAGCUGUAAUCAGGUUUUUCAUGUGUUUGUCAUCAACUGAAAGAUUGACUGAGUAUGGUUCUGAGAUCUCUCAGGUGAUUAUUGGCAGAAUUAAGUUCCUUUUCGAUUCUUGGUCUUAUUUCUUCACCCAUCUACUAUAGUGCAUUCUUGCCAUGCAGCCCUUUUUAUGGAGCAAGUCACAAUACAGCAGCUUGCUUCAUUAGGGCAAGCAAGCAAGACAAGCUGCAGCAAAUGCAAGUAACAUGGAAGUCUUUAUAAUCUAAUCAUGGAAUUGACAUAGUUAAAAACAAAUCAUUAGGUAGGCUCCAAAUUGAUCAGAACAUGGUUAUUGGACAAAACCAUGACUGUCAGGAGGCUGCAUCAUGGGGAGCCAUUUUACAAGCAGCACCAUGGGUGUUAUGGGGGAUUUUAUUACAUUUGUUCUGCUCUUAAGAGUUGAAAGUCUUUAAAAAUGUGUAAGUCUGUCGUUUGUUCUUGACUUCUGUCAUGUUUUCAAGAAUGCAUUAUGCAAUGAUGUAGAAUACUGUUUGUAAAGUAGUUGUCUAGACUCUAGUGAAAAUAAUUACAGAUAAUCUCAGUUCAUCAACGAAUCGGUAUAUUAAUGUCAUAUUUAACAGUUAUAGGAAUAAACUAAGCAUAAUAAUAAAUGAUGAUUUGAA